CAGCAGCCGCGGUAAUACGUAGGGUGCAAGCGUUGUCCGGAAUUAUUGGGCGUAAAGAGCUCGUAGGCGGUUUGUCGCGUCUGCUGUGAAAUCCCGAGGCUCAACCUCGGGCUUGCAGUGGGUACGGGCAGACUAGAGUGCGGUAGGGGAGAUUGGAAUUCCUGGUGUAGCGGUGGAAUGCGCAGAUAUCAGGAGGAACACCGAUGGCGAAGGCAGAUCUCUGGGCCGUAACUGACGCUGAGGAGCGAAAGCGUGGGGAGCGAACAGGAUUAGAUACCCGGGUAGUCCCUGUCUCUUAUAC
rnacentral:rRNA from 1 species